UGCAAGUCGAGCGGAAGGCCCUUCGGGGUACUCGAGCGGCGAACGGGUGAGUAACACGUGAGUAACCUGCCCCUGACUCUGGGAUAAGCCUGGGAAACCGGGUCUAAUACCGGAUAUGACACUCCUCCGCAUGGUGUGGGUGUGGAAAGUUUUUUCGGUUGGGGAUGGACUCGCGGCCUAUCAGCUUGUUGGUGGGGUGAUGGCCUACCAAGGCGACGACGGGUAGCCGGCCUGAGAGGGCGACCGGCCACACUGGGACUGAGACACGGCCCAGACUCCUACGGGAGGCAGCAGUGGGGAAUAUUGCGCAAUGGGCGAAAGCCUGACGCAGCGACGCCGCGUGGGGGAUGACGGCCUUCGGGUUGUAAACCUCUUUCAGCAGGGACGAAGUUGACGUGUACCUGUAGAAGAAGCGCCGGCUAACUACGUGCCAGCAGCCGCGGUAAUACGUAGGGCGCGAGCGUUGUCCGGAAUUAUUGGGCGUAAAGAGCUCGUAGGUGGCUUGUUGCGUCUGCCGUGAAAGCCCGUGGCUUAACUACGGGUCUGCGGUGGAUACGGGCAGGCUAGAGGCUGGUAGGGGCAAGCGGAAUUCCUGGUGUAGCGGUGAAAUGCGCAAAUAUCAGGAGGAACACCGGUGGCGAAGGCGGCUUGCUGGG
rnacentral:rRNA from 1 species